rnacentral:rRNA from 1 species
AUUGAACGCUGGCGGCAGGCCUAACCCAUGCAAUACGAACGAGUGGCGGACGGGUGAGUAAGGUCUGGGAAACUGCACGAUGGAGGGGGAUAACUACUGGAAACGGUAGCUAAUACCGCAUACCAUCGGAUGUGCCCAGAUGGGAUUGGCUAGUAGGUGGGGUAACGGCUCACUUAGGCGACGAUCCAUAGCUGGUCUGAGAGGAUGACCAGCCACACUGGAACUGUGACACGGGCCAGACGUCUGCGUGAGUCAGCAGUGGGGAAGAUUGCACAAGGGGCGCAAGCCUGAUGCAGCCAUGCCGCGUGUAUGCAGAAGGCCUUCGGGUUGUAAAGUACUUUCAGCGAGGAGGCGUUACUCGCAGAAGAAGCACCGGCUAACUCCGUGCCAGCAGCCGCGGAAAUAC